AUGGCUCAGAACGAACGCUGGCGGCGCGUUUAAGCAUGCAAGUCGAACGGCAAGACUGGUAGCAAUACUGGUCUGAGAGUGGCGAACGGGUGAGGUAAGACGUAGGUGAUCUACCCCUGGGUGGGGGAUAGUCCGUGGAAACACGGGGUAAUACCGCAUGAGGCCUUGAGGGUAAAGCCUUGAGGUGAAAGCUCCAACUGGAGCGUCUGGGGAUGAGCCUGCGGCCCAUUAGGCAGUUGGCGGGGUAACGGCCCACCAAACCGACGAUGGGUAGCCGGCCUGAGAGGGUGUACGGCCACACUGGAACUGAGACACGGUCCAGACUCCUACGGGAGGCAGCAGCUAAGAAUCUUCCGCAAUGGGGGAAACCCUGACGGAGCGACGCCGCGUGGAACCGAUGAAGGCCGUAAGGUUGUAAAGUCCUUUUGCAGGUGAAGAAUAAGCCGGGGAGUGGAAAGCCCUGGUGAUGACGUUAGCCUGCGAAUAAGCCCCGGCCAAUUACGUGCCAGCCGCCGC
rnacentral:rRNA from 1 species